UGGGGAAUAUUGGACAAUGGGGGGAACCCUGAUCCAGCAAUGCCGCGUGUGUGAAGAAGGCCUGAGGGUUGUAAAGCACUUUCAGUAGGGAGGAGGGUUGACAGGUUAAGAGCUAGUUAACUGGACGUUACCUACAGAAGAAGCACCGGCUAACUCCGUGCCAGCAGCCGCGGUAAUACGGAGGGUGCAAGCGUUAAUCGGAAUUACUGGGCGUAAAGGGUGCGUAGGUGGUUCGGUAAGUUAUCUGUGAAAUCCCUGGGCUCAACCUGGGCAGGUCAGAUAAAACUGCAGAACUCGAGUAUGGGAGAGGGUAGUGGAAUUUCCGGUGUAGCGGUGAAAUGCGUAGAGAUCGGAAGGAACACCAGUGGCGAAGGCGGCUACCUGGCCUAAUACUGACACUGAGGCACGAAAGCGUGGGGAGCAAACAG
rnacentral:rRNA from 1 species